rnacentral:rRNA from 1 species
AUUGAACGCUGGCGGCAGGCCUAACACAUGCAAGUCGAGCGGAUGAAGGGAGCUUGCUCCUGGAUUCAGCGGCGGACGGGUGAGUAAUGCCUAGGAAUCUGCCUGGUAGUGGGGGAUAACGUCCGGAAACGGGCGCUAAUACCGCAUACGUCCUGAGGGAGAAAGUGGGGGAUCUUCGGACCUCACGCUAUCAGAUGAGCCUAGGUCGGAUUAGCUAGUUGGUGGGGUAAAGGCCUACCAAGGCGACGAUCCGUAACUGGUCUGAGAGGAUGAUCAGUCACACUGGAACUGAGACACGGUCCAGACUCCUACGGGAGGCAGCAGUGGGGAAUAUUGGACAAUGGGCGAAAGCCUGAUCCAGCCAUGCCGCGUGUGUGAAGAAGGUCUUCGGAUUGUAAAGCACUUUAAGUUGGGAGGAAGGGUAGUAAGUUAAUACCUUGCUGUUUUGACGUACCAACAGAAUAAGCACCGGCUAACUUCGUG